rnacentral:rRNA from 1 species
UACAGAGGUCUCAAGCGUUGUUCGGAUUCAUUGGGCGUAAAGGGUGCGUAGGUGGCGUGGUAAGUCGGGUGUGAAAUUUCGGAGCUUAACUCCGAAACUGCAUUCGAUACUGCUGUGCUUGAGGACUGGAGAGGAGACUGGAAUUUACGGUGUAGCAGUGAAAUGCGUAGAGAUCGUAAGGAAGACCAGUGGCGAAGGCGGGUCUCUGGGCCAUUACUGACGCUGAGGAGCGAAAGCGUGGGGAGCGAACAGG